GUAUAGUCUUCAUAUUAUACUCAAUAUUUUUAACUUUUUUCUAAUUUCAGAUUCUUGGGCUGAAAAGAAGUAAUUUUUAUUUUGUUUAUUUUUGGGUAUCAAAGUUUUAGUUUUUUACAAAUUUCAGAUUCCUGGGUUGAAAAAGAGUAAUCUUUUCUAUUUGAUUUUUGAUAUCUUUGAAUGAUGUUCCUUCUUAUAUUUAAAGUUUUAAUUUGUCUAGCUUCUUAUUGAAUUUUUUUUUGGGCCCAUAGAAGUGAAUUUUGGGGCCGAUAUCAAUGAAUUUUUUUUUUUUCAAUAUUACUAGGUAUCUUUGUAUUGUCUUUAUUUUAUACUCAAAAUUUUUAAUUUUUUCAAUUUCAGAUUAUAGGGCUUAAAUAAGUAAUUUUUUUGUUUAAUUUUUGGCUAUCAAAGUUUUUAGUUUUAUCCUUGUUUUAUAUUCUUGAGUUGAAAAAUAAGUUAUCGUUUUGUUUGAUUUUGGGUGUCAAAGCUUUAAUCGGUUUUUGAUGUAUACGUUUACUGUGAUUUGGAUUCGAUCUAAUUAUGCUGAAAAGUUUCACAAGUAGGGCGUUAUUUAGCUUGAGUUUGUGAUUUAAAAAUAUUUUGAAAUUGCUUCUGAAUUUUGUGGUUAUUUUGACUUAAUUUCAGUUGUACAACCACUUUGUUUUACGUUUUACUUGAAUUAUUGUGCGAGAAUUUUGUGAAACAGAUCUAGAGUUACUUUGACCAAAUAAGCAUGGUUGAUAUGAUUUUUUGGCUUGCUCAUUAUCUUUGUGGUGAGACUUCAUAUUUGAAGGUUUUAUUUAGUGAUUGACCCUCUGAGCAAUUUGAUUGUCAAAAUGAGCUAAAAUAUUCAUGUAAAAUGAUUAUCUUUAGAGUCAAGAGUUCAUAAUUUGUAGUUAUUUAUGGAUGCAAAUUGUUUCACCAAAAUAUAAUGGUGGCAAACUGUUAGAACGUUGUUAAAGAUGCUCAAUAAUAGAUUUUCUUAUAUUUUUUUUAUAAAAUAAGUUGUUCUGGUUGAGAAAAUUCUUCAAAUAAAAUGUCCUCUGGUCCGUGAAUGACUUUUUAAUUUAGAAAAACACUCCUCUUGAAUGCCUUUCUUGUUUAUUGGUGUGUGUUCUUUCCUUCUGAGCUGCAAAUGUUUGUGACUUGCCGAGACAUUUAACUGCAUGUUAGUUGAUAGGAUGUUGCAAAGACUGCAUGCCUGAAUUAUUUAUGUACUCCUUGCUUCUCAACUAUGACGACCGUCCUGAACAUUCUAAUGCUUAAUGCUACAAGUCAAACUUAGUGAAUCAUGUCAUCAGAUUCCUAUAAUUUGUAGGCUAAUGUAAAUAUUUAUUUAUUUUUAUGGAUUUUCGUCUUCCAAAAGGUGUCGUAUUUUGGUUAAUUGUGUCUGAUCCCUUUUCUUUUUAAUGUUGUGGUUCAUGUUCUUCAUCUUGCUCAGUUUGUUGUGUCUACAAAGAUGCAAAGAAGAUGAUUCGAUCUCGUAGUUAUUUCUUUCGUCUAAUGGUCCUAAACGUACAAUGGAGAUGAUUCGAUCUCGUAGUUCUUUUUGUCAGCUAGUGUUAGGUAGUCUAGAUUACUCAUACCGGUAGUGUUAGUACGUACUAUCGCAUUUGGUUGGUAGUAGGCUUAUUUGGUAGUGGAUUGGAGUUGAGACUCCAUUAAAACAUCUGAGGUUGAUUUUGUAUUACUCGAACAUAAGUUCAGGCAGCCAGCUCUGGUAGACUAGUACAAUUAAUAGUAAGACGGAGAAAAACUAUUUAUAAAUGUCUAUAUCUCACUCUUGGGUGCGGCUCUUCCCCGGACCCUACGUGAACGCGGGAUGCUUUUUGCACGGGGCUACCCUGCACUUCAGUAUUACAUACUUCAUGAGUACUGAACAGUAUGUGAUGUUUUGGGACAUUUUAGAGUACUAUGUACUACCUAUCUAGGAACACAACUCAUGAACGAAGUAUCUUGACAAUCAAAUGACAGUCUAACCAGUGCUAAUCCAAAUUAGUCGGGAUAAUGAAUUCCGGAUACCGAAUGCCAAAAUAGCAGACAGUAUAGGCACAAAAUAAGAAUCCAGGGUACCUAUUUCAACUUUUUUUUAAUGCCGCACAGGGUAAUUUUCACCUCUGUUUAUGAAGCCAAGAAAUGACUACUAAAUGUUCACUUUACAUUACCUAAGACUUUGCCUGCAACUGAAAACCAUUAUAUACAGCAGACUGAUUUUCCUCUCUGAAUUCUGAUGUAGUUAGUUCAUUUUGUUAGGGUUGGAUGAAGACAUAGAUCCAGCUUUGGGAACAUAACUAGCUCAGGUUACCUAGAUGAUAGUUACAAGAAAGGACAAAAGUCUAGAGAUCAGCCCCAUUAGUUUUCUUGCCCAAACUUUCAUUGAGAUUCCUCACAUCUCUUCCUAAAAUAUCCUUCCUUUUUACAAUUUAGAAUCCAGUAAACAUAUAAGAUAGAAGCGGAGCCUUGGCGUAAUUGGUAAAGUUGCUGCCAUGUGAUUAGGAGGUCACGAGUUCGAACCGUGGAAACAACACAUAGCGGGAGCUUAGUGCACCGGACUUCCCUUUUUAAACAUAUAAGAUAACCACUUCUACAGUUUUACUCAUUUUACAUCAGAAUUGCAGUCUAAGGGAGUUUAGAUUUUUAAUAGUACCUUCAUAAACAUGCAUUUUCAAUUACAUUGUUUACUCAUUCUUUCCACUUUGAUUUUCAAAAUAGAUGGGAUUGCUUUCUUUUUCUUAUUACAAGGGAUCAUAUUCCUACAAACUUUUGUACUAUAAUACAUUAGUAGAAUAUAAACAACCAGAAAUUCUCACCAUUACUCGGUAUAAAAAUGAGACGAGCAGUUGAUAUUUUUAAAACGAAAACCUAUACUGUUAAGUACUUCAGAACAAGUCCUCUCAGCUUUUCCAUGUACUCUGCUGCUUGUUUCUGCAUUUCCAAAGAAAUAUUAGUUCAAAGUUAGACAAUCGUAGUCAAAGCUUUUGUACAUAUCGAUCAAUACUUUCUACUACAAAAUGAGGCAUUCAAAAUUUACGGUGAUGGUUUUGAUAUGUAGCCAUUACCAAGUAUCAAACUUGAAAUAAGUGAAAAAAAUUCCGGACAAAGGGUGUUCAAUAUAUGUUAUAUACCUCUAAACAUUAAUAUUUUACCAAUAUACACAGUGUAACUUUUUGACGAAGAGUGAUCAAUUAACCACCCCUAGGAGAAUGUAGCUUCGCCCCUUGGCGGGAGUGCUAGGAGGAUGUUGGCCCAAGAUUCCCCACAUAUAUUUUUCAGUUAUGUAGGCACAGCAGUUUUGAUUUAUGGUGUGUGCAAGCUCUUAUCUCCAGUUCUUGUGGAGAUGGGAAUCAAAGACUGCUUGGGGCUAACAAGACACUGAUUCUAAGAUGAAAUGACUGUGUGAUACAUCCUAUAUCGAGUCUGAACUUCAGAAUCAUCAAAGUUCCGGAGAAACAGCAGAUGAUGCAUUUAGGGUUGUAUUUGGAAAGGAGUAGCCUGGUCGGGUUAGAUGCUAUGGUAGAUCGGUGACGACAAGCUCUCUGAAAAAAGAUGAAGAAAUCACCAAGCUUAAACAAAAGCAUGCCAAUGAAAUAACUUCUCUGAAGGAAGAAAUGAAGGAAAUUAUGAGAGAAGAAAUUCGAUGUUUUUUUACUCAAUUGGUGAAAAAUAACCCUGGACUGGAUUUUAAUGAUAUACAAGGGUGUGUUGGAUCUAAUAUUCCUUCGCCGGUUGAUGCAAGUAGUGCACGAGCUAUGAGAGGUCAAAAUCUGCCACAUUCUUCUGGCUCAACUCACGCCCCAAGUCUUGAAAAGGAAAAUACGGGUGAUGCAAUUCGAUAUGGUGGUCACAAUCAAUUUGAUUCAUUAAAGUGAAAGGUGAAGACCUUUUGAACAAUUGGGAUGUUUAUUGAUUCUAUAAAUAUGAAUACAUUUGGUUUUGUAGAGGUCUUUGCUAGUGAACUCUUUAGGGGUGUGCAUUCGAUUUAUCGAUUCGAUUUUGACCCUU